UUGGCCUCACUGUUCCAAUACUUUUGGAGGGCACUGUACCUUUUACUGCCAGAUCUUUACACUCGACGGUGAGGAAAGUGGAUACUAACAAGGAAAGUGUAACUGGAUACUAACAAGGAAAAGUGAAUUAUUCAUCCAAUGACACAGCCUCUGGAACUAAGACUGAACCUAACCCUGCUGAAGACCAUUCUCCAGGACUAGGACUAACCCAAACCUGAAGACCAUUCUCCAGGACUAGGACUAACCCCAAAACACCAUUAUCCAGGACUAGGACCACCCCAACCUGAACACUAGUCUCUGGGACUAGGACCACCCAUACUUGAACACCAGUUAGGACUAAGAAGUGUCCUAAGUAACAACCAUAGGGAAUUCUGUCCCUUUUAGGUCACUAAGAAGCAUUGAUGCUAAAGUAUACCUCCUCCCCCACCUCCUCCUGCUACCGCCAAUUCAACCCCCAGCGUCCCUCGAGGAUUGGAGGGGGGGGGGGGGGGCAUGUGAUUGUCGACCGCCUGCACUUUAUGGUUCCCCAUUCAUUCUGAAUCAUGCCUCGGUUUCCAGUCAGAUCUGCCAGCCUGUCUCUUGCUCUGCCUUUUCAGACUCAGAGCCAGUGAAACCGAGAGAGAGAGCGAGAGCGAGAGAGAGAGCAUCAGAGCGGUGUUCCCCAGAGUCAGCCUGCAGCUGUGUGUCCCUCAGCCCCCUCAGCCCGGAUCUCACAGCUCCCCGGAAACGCCCUGGAGGACCGUGGCCGUCGCGGGGUUGGACGUCUGGGGAGACUCUCCUGAGAGGUGGUCAGCCUUCUCCUGGAGAGCCAGCUGGCCCUUAGGCCCCCACCAGACCCCCCUAGACCCUUCCAGACUCCCCAGCCCCCCCCCCCCCCCCCCAGACCCUUCAGAGGACCGCAGAGCACGGCAACAUGAGACCGUCCAUGGGAUUAACCAAUUCAAGCCACAAGCGAUGACAGCGUCAUAUUAGCUGGACUGGUGGGACGCUAAUUUAAGGGUUGAACUUUGACAUCUAACGCUGUCCGACCUCAUAUUUGACAGGGUUGGGGAGGACAGGACUCAAUGUUCGCUCGACGAAAACAUGAAUUAGCGACGCCCAGACUUGUAAGAUCCUCACCACUGCUAUUUGCUUACGGAGUGCAGUUGUGUCUCAUCUCUGCCAAAGCUCAAAGAUGUUAUCAUAUCCAUGAAAGACGCCCUGUUCAGAAAACUGAAGCUAUUGAAGUUUUUACAGGUAGACCACAUGACACAGCACUGCAAACCCAGUCUGAGUGAGAUGCCAGUCUGCAGACUGAGAGCUGAUUGGUCACAUUCACAUGCUGUCGAAUCCUGAAGCAUCUCUGAGUUUGGUGUCUAUUCCGGCAUGGCGGAGAUCUGAGCCCUGUUGAGAGGACUCAGGGCUUUCUCACUUUCAUCUGAGCAGCUGUGAUCUGGUUUCAACUUCUGGUGUGGUGAGGAGACAGGAUGUUGCUCACCGCACUCUUCUAGAGAAGUUUGCUUGGGAAUGCGUCACACCAAAGAUUCAUCACACCGAAGGUUCGGUGCGAAACAGAAAUAAACGUAGUUCCACCUCAGUCUAAAACCAACGUUGUUAUUGUGUUUGUAAUCCAAUCAGUCCCGAACAUCACCACCACAGACACCAUUUCACUGAUACCUGUCAGAUGCACUACAAAUCUGCUUGUCUGCAAAGAAGACAAUGGAUUACUGACCAAUUACAAGGAGUUAGGGUCGAUGACAUCACAGCAGUAGGUGUUGAUUCAUUCAGCUUGUGGUGACAGGGCCUCAGUCUAGAUGAGCCAUGCUCAACCCUGGUCCUCAGGGCCCACUGCCCUGUAUGUUUUAGAUGUUUCCCAACACACUUGAUUCAAAUGCAUGGGUCGUUAUCAGUCAUUUGUAUCAGGUGUGUUGGAAGAUGAAAACAUUCUAGAACAUCCGGGGAAGGAGGACCUUGAGGACCAGGGUUGAGAAAGUCUGCUCUAUAUCAAUAGAGAGCGGGUCAUACCAUUCUCAGCCCCUUGGAGGGCCCUACUAUCCUGAGGGUCGUACCAUCUUCAGCCCCCUGGAGCUAACAGGGCACGUUGGGUGGAUCCAGUCUGCAACACAAGCAUGAAUGCCUAAUGUGAUGAUGAGAUUAGAAUGCCUGGGAUAGAAAGGUUGUCCCCUCCUUCUGUCUUUUUCACUCACACACAGACGCAUCUGACAGACACCGAUACCUUUGGCCCAUUUAAGACCUGAGUUUCGCCGGUUCUAGUGUUCCUUACUUCCAGGAAUCUGCGAUACUCUAGCUGUUACGCAACAUUAGAUCCCGGUCCAUUUAUCAGAGUGUGUGGAUGUCAGAGAGUGACACAAACUGAGAGUGAAUUGAAAUGCAAAUAUUGGCUGCCUGUCUUCCCGUAAAUCUUAUCCUGAUGACCUUUACCCCUUGGAGUGACCCGAUGGGAAGGGCUUUAAUCCUCCAGUCAAGUGCGCCCUGGGUAAUCAUUGCCCUCGCUGCUAUCUUAUCCAGAGCAGAUAACUGUGCUGUCAGGUGGCCAGGUCCCAGGAGUCAUGAGACUUGCCACGUUCAGAACUUCCCCUCAGAGAUUAAGAAACGUCCACACUACCAUCUAGAGUCCAGAGCACAGGAACGAGCACACUGCCUGGAGGUUCUUAGAAAGUCUGACUUCAGAAACGGGGUGACGAAUUGGGAAGAAAUACUUGAUAAGAAAUCGUGUCAGCCAAAGCUCAACGAUAUAUCAAGGAAAGCCAUGGCUGUUCAGAACCCUGGCUUUUGAUGCCUUGUUUUACGAGUAUGCCACAUGACCCAGCCCUAAAAACCCCACCUGACUGUCAUGAGGGUCAGGCAGCAGUAGCUAUCGGGAGCGCAUCCUGAAAGGUUCACGUAUAACGGAUCCUUUUCUACAGCUCAAGAAAAGUGAAGAAGAUGAGACAAUCCACAGACAAAAUGCGAUGCAAAAGUUUUUUAAUGCAGAGAUUACUGGCUACAAGGAGAGCGACACUAAGGCCAAAGGUAGAGAACGCCAUUUUACAUGCUGAGGCAGAUUACAUACAGAGAACUCCGAAGCGGUAUA